AGCUUGCUACCAGGCGUCGAGCGGCGGACGGGUGAGUAAUACUUAGGAAUCUACCUAGUAGUGGGGGAUAGCUCGGGGAAACUCGAAUUAAUACCGCAUACGACCUACGGGAGAAAGGGGGCAGUUUACUGCUCUCGCUAUUAGAUGAGCCUAAGUCGGAUUAGCUAGAUGGUGGGGUAAAGGCCUACCAUGGCGACGAUCUGUAGCUGGUCUGAGAGGAUGAUCAGCCACACCGGGACUGAGACACGGCCCGGACUCCUACGGGAGGCAGCAGUGGGGAAUAUUGGACAAUGGGGGAAACCCUGAUCCAGCCAUGCCGCGUGUGUGAAGAAGGCCUUUUGGUUGUAAAGCACUUUAAGCAGUGAAGAAGACUCCGUGGUUAAUACCCACGGACGAUGACAUUAGCUGCAGAAUAAGCACCGGCUAACUCUGUGCCAGCAGCCGCGGUAAUACAGAGGGUGCAAGCGUUAAUCGGAAUUACUGGGCGUAAAGGGAGCGUAGGUGGCUCGAUAAGUCAGAUGUGAAAUCCCCGGGCUCAACCUGGGAACUGCAUCUGAUACUGUUGAGCUAGAGUAUGUGAGAGGAAGGUAGAAUUCCAGGUGUAGCGGUGAAAUGCGUAGAGAUCUGGAGGAAUACCGAUGGCGAAGGCAGCCUUCUGGCAUAAUACUGACACUGAGGCUCGAAAGCGUGGGUAGCAAACAGGAUUAGAUACCCUGGUAGUCCACGCCGUAAACGAUGUCUACUAGUCGUUGGGUCCCUUGAGGACUUAGUGACGCAGCUAACGCAAUAAGUAGACCGCCUGGGGAGUACGGCCGCAAGGUUAAAACUCAAAUGAAUUGACGGGGGCCCGCACAAGCGGUGGAGCAUGUGGUUUAAUUCGAUGCAACGCGAAGAACCUUACCUGGUCUUGACAUAUCUAGAAUCCUGCAGAGAUGCGGGAGUGCCUUCGGGAAUUAGAAUACAGGUGCUGCAUGGCUGUCGUCAGCUCGUGUCGUGAGAUGUUGGGUUAAGUCCCGCAACGAGCGCAACCCUUGUCCUUAGUUACCAGCGGGUUAAGCCGGGAACUCUAAGGAUACUGCCAGUGACAAACUGGAGGAAGGCGGGGACGACGUCAAGUCAUCAUGGCCCUUACGACCAGGGCUACACACGUGCUACAAUGGUAGGUACAGAGGGCAGCUACACAGCGAUGUGAUGCGAAUCUCAAAAAGCCUAUCGUAGUCCAGAUUGGAGUCUGCAACUCGACUCCAUGAAGUAGGAAUCGCUAGUAAUCGCGGAUCAGAAUGCCGCGGUGAAUACGUUCCCGGGCCUUGUACACACCGCCCGUCACACCAUGGGAGUUGAUUGCACCAGAAGUGGAUAGCUUAACCUUCGGGGGAGCG
rnacentral:rRNA from 1 species